rnacentral:hammerhead_ribozyme from 1 species
AACCAGCUGAAGAAUCCCAAACAGGGAGAAACGUGCGUCCUGCUU